GGUUUCGCAUGCAAGUAAUAUUCUACAUACUGCCAGAUACUGGCAUCUGGAAAAGUUAACUAAAUGAAACUAGCUUCUAUGAGCUUAUCUUAUCACAUAACAUCUAUCGAAUGCGGUUUUGCCAAUAACAAAAUAUGGUAUAAUCAAAAUCAUUUCAUUUUGAUGCAAACAUGCAAGGUCACCAAUGGGAGUUACAUAUGGCCGUAAGGGUAUUACAAGAAUUUGGGAUAUGAAGAGCAUUUCCCCCGUUUUAUCAAGAAAUAUCAAAAGUGUUUACACUAGGUUAUCAAGCUUUCACCGAAUGCUACCCGGAAAAAGAAUAUAUAACAAUAUUGCCGCAUUUUCAUACCUGAGAACAGCAUCAGCUUGAAAUCGGUCACAUGCAUGUAUACAUUUGGACGUGUGGGACAUUUGAACUUACUGAAGAAUUUACCUCGCUUCUACCACCAACUUGGAACUUAUAUACUCGAAUUCCACCGCAGAGACAAUAUAUAUAGUUUGUCGGUUAAUAAGCACAUGCAAUAUUGCAAGUACAUACAAGUAAUUGGGAUCUGCUUGUGCUUGUGCUUGUGCUUGUGCCUGUGUUCUUAUCUGUAUUGUUUGUGUCUGCGUCUAUGGUGUCACUUGUACAAACGUAUUUGCGUGGAGAGAAAUUGAUGAAAUAACUGAAUAAAAAGGGGAC